GUUUCCGUAGGUGAACCUGCGGAAGGAUCAUUGUCGAAACCUGCACAGCAGAACGACCCGCGAACCCGUCUUGACAUCGGGGGCCUGCGGGCCUCGUGCCCGUGCGCUCCCACCCGCGCGCCGUGUCGGGGGUCGGACGAACGCUCCGGCGUGAGUCCGCCCUCUCGCGGCGCGUUAACGAACCCCCGGCGCGAAUCGCGUCAAGGAAACCUGAACGAGAGAGCUCGCUCCCGUCGCCCCGGACACGGUGUGCGCGGGACGUGCGGCCUUCUUUAAUUAUCUAUAACGACUCUCGGCAACGGAUAUCUCGGCUCUCGCAUCGAUGAAGAACGUAGCGAAAUGCGAUACUUGGUGUGAAUUGCAGAAUCCCGUGAACCAUCGAGUCUUUGAACGCAAGUUGCGCCCGAAGCCAUUAGGCCGAGGGCACGUCUGCCUGGGUGUCACGCAUCGUCGCCCCCAUCCACACACGCUGCGGCGUCAUGGAUGCGGGCGGAAAAUGGCCUCCCGUGUGCCCGUGCGCGCGGCUGGCCCAAAACCCGAGUUCUCGGUGACGCUCCCCGCGACGAUCGGUGGCGUUCGAAACAGAACCUAGUGAUCCCGUCGCGCGGUCGCGUCGUCCCGUCCACGGACUCGUCGACCCUCGGGGGCGGGCAAAGGCCCGUCCGCAUCGCGACCCCAGGUCAG
rnacentral:rRNA from 1 species